CCUACGGGAGGCAGCAGUGGGGAAUAUUGCACAAUGGGGGAAACCCUGAUGCAGCGACGCCGCGUGAGUGAAGAAGUAAUUCGUUAUGUAAAGCUCUAUCAGCAGGGAAGAAAAUGACGGUACCUGAGUAAGAAGUCCCGGCUAACUACGUGCCAGCAGCCGCGGUAAUACGUAGGGGGCAAGCGUUAUCCGGAUUUACUGGGUGUAAAGGGAGCGUAGACGGCAGUGCAAGUCUGGAGUGAAAGGCGGGGGCUCAACCCCCGGACUGCUCUGGAAACUGUACGGCUGGAGUGCAGGAGAGGUAAGUGGAAUUCCUAGUGUAGCGGUGAAAUGCGUAGAUAUUAGGAGGAACACCAGUGGCGAAGGCGGCUUACUGGACUGUAACUGACGCUGAGGAGCGAAAGCGUGGGUAGCAAACAGGAUUAGAUACCCUAGUAGUC
rnacentral:rRNA from 1 species